rnacentral:tRNA from 2 species
GGGCUUGUAGCUCAGGUGGUUAGAGCGCACGCCUGAUAAGCGUGAGGUCGGAAGUUCGAGUCUUCCCAAGCCCA